CACGUAGGCGGAUAUUUAAGUCAGGGGUGAAAUCCCAGAGCUCAACUCUGGAACUGCCUUUGAUACUGGGUAUCUUGAGUAUGGAAGAGGUAAGUGGAAUUCCGAGUGUAGAGGUGAAAUUCGUAGAUAUUCGGAGGAACACCAGUGACGAAGGCGGCUUACUGGUCCAUUACUGACGCUGAGGUGCGAAAGCGUGGGGAGCAAACA
rnacentral:rRNA from 1 species